AUGGCGGGGGAGUUGGGUCAGCAGACAGUGGAGCUGGGGACUGUGGCGCGGCAGGCGGCGGAGGAGUCCUACCUGGCGCUGCGUGAGCUCGUGGAGAAGUCGCGGGCGGGCGCCGAGGGGGAGGCAGCGCAGCAGAGGUCGGAUACUGAGAAGAAGAUCGACCUGCUCAAAUUCAUCGACCGCACCCGCCAGCGCAUGCUCCGGCUCCAUGUCCUCGCCAAGUGGUGCCAGCAGGUGCCCUUGCUUCAUUACUGCCAGCAACUUGCGUCAACUCUCUCCAGCCAUGAAACUUGCUUCAUCCAAACAGGCGAUUCACUGUUCUUUAUGCAUGAAGGAUUGCAGCAAGCUCGUGCUCCCAUUUUUGAUGUUUCAUCUGCGAUAGAAGUCAUACAUACAGGGAGCUAUAGGAGAUUGCCUAAAUCUGUAGAGGAAAUAGGUACUCAGAAUACACUUUUUCAAGAUGAGCGGAAGCCUACAUUGAAGAAAUUAAGCACCCUUGUGCGGGCAAAAUUACUUGAAACCCUAGUUCCUAAAGAAAUGUCUGAGGUUUCGGUGACUGAUGGAAUAGCCAAUGUACAGGUAGAUGGCGAAUUCAAAGUACUCCUUACGUUAGGUUACCGUGGGCACUUCUCGCUGUGGAGGAUAUUGCAUAUUGAGUUACUUGUUGGUGAGAACACCGGGCCUAUUAAGCUUGAAGAGACAAGAAGGUAUGUUCUGGGUGAUGACAUCGAACGGAGAAUGGCUGUGGCUGACAAUCCCCUCACAAUUUUGUAUACAAUUCUCCAUGAGCUAUGCAUCUCUUUUGUUAUGGAUACCGUAAUUAGACAGACUAAUGUUCUACGACAAGGUAGAUGGAAAGAGGCAAUAAAAUCUGAACUUGUCUCGGAUAGUCAUAGAAGUGCAGGACAAGGUGGGAAUAAUGCUCCAACGCAGCUUGGUCAAGAUGGAGAGCUCGAUUCAAGUGGGUUCAGGAUACCUGGUUUGAAAAUAAAUUAUUGGCUGGAUGAAAGAAACAGUGGGUCAGCAGAAUCUGAUUCAUCUCCAUUUAUUAAAGUUGAGGCACUGCAAGAUAUGCAGAUAAAGUGUCAGCACAGUUCAUUUGUAUUGGAUCCACUUACAGAUAAAGAAGCUGAUCUUUCUCUUGAUCUGAGCUGCAUUGAUGUUGAGGCAAUCAUUUUGAAAGCAAUUGCUUGCAAUAGACACACACGUCUUCUGGAAAUUCAGAGGGAGUUGAAAAAAAAUACUCGGAUUUCUCGAUCCCCAACUGAUGUUGUCCUGAAACGGAAAGAAGUUCAUAUGGACGUCCUGCAAAAGAGAGUGGAUAGAAGGGGCUUCGAGAAUUGUUGUACAAAUGAAGUGCUUCAGGUUAGGGCAUAUGGAAAAUCGUAUAUUCACCUGGGAAUAAAUAUCAGGAGUGGUGGCUUUCUCCUGCAAUCACCAAAAAAUAUAUUACCACCUUCUGCGGUAUUAGACUCUGAAGAAGCCCUUAAUAAACGGAGCAUAACACCCACUGAGGUCUUCGUGAGCUUAAAGACCAGAAGCAUCCUUCAGUUGUUUGCUGCGACAGGAAGGUUUUUGGGCCUGAAGGUUUACUCCGAGUGUCAGAUUACUCUGAAGAUACCAAAAUCCAUACUGUAUGGUUCAGAUUUUAUGGUUAUGGGAUUUCCUUGGCGUACAAAUGCCUAUUAUCUUCUGAUGCAACUUGAUGACAACCUCAUGCCGGUUUUUUAUUUGCUUGAGGUGCAUAUUGACGGAGAAGACAGGUCUAACAUUGAUACAACCACUGACGCUAAAGAAGUUGUAAGGUUUAACAGAAUUGACAUUGGCCAGAUGCAACUAGGUGAAGAUGAAUGCAUUGCAAAUCUUCUCGAUGUAGAGAAAUUGCAGGUGCUACAAAGCAUGGAAGAUGGGUCUCCCGGGCAUAGUGAAAUUGAUGAGUCUCUUCCUCUAAAGCCUUCAUUUUCUUCUGUUGUUAACGCAGUAUUAGGAUAUGAGCGAGAUUCUCCAAGUAAGGAAAAUUGGCUGUCUUAUAGUUCGCCCUCAACUCAUUUGAGUUCUCAAAAAGUUGGCCGUCAGGGGGUUAGCAGUAGAGCUGGCCCACCUGAACUGGAUGACGAGUUACUACAUUCUAACAUUGACACAGCAAAAGUCGCUUCUGGUGUCACUUUGGACAGUUAUCUGCUGAGUAAUUCGAAGUCUGCAAAUAGUACAGAGACCUCCGUUUCGGUCCCUGCAGGUUUGGAGAAUAUCUCCGCUUUACGCUCUGAAGUUCCAUCUGGAAAGAGAUAUCUUUCAGAGUUCUUGUUGAACAUCCCAUCAUUACAGCGAUCAAUAAUCAGUGGUGGGCCAAGAAAGAGAAGAAAACUGCCAGAAGAUGCAAGCAGCGUGCAAUCUCGAACAACCCUCACCUAUGGAACUAUACUGAGAGAAGGAAAUUGUUGUAUUACAGAAAAUAUAUAUGCUUCUGUGCUUCUUCAAGUCAUAAAGCAUUGUUCGCUUCGUAUCAAAUAUGCUCAACUGACUACCCAGAUGAAUUCUCUUAACAUUCCAUAUGUAGAAGAAGUUGGUCUGGGGACACCCUCCUCUAAUCUUUGGUUACGGCUACCUUUUGCUCAAGAUGGUUCUUGGAAACACACAUGCUUACGUCUCGGUGAAGCUGGAAGCAUGUCAUGGGGUGUUAGGAUCAACGAUCCAUAUUAUGGUGCACUGUGGGAACUUCAUGGAGGCAGCAAUACUACAGAAUGGGGUUCUCAUGUUCGCAUUGCAAACACUUCUGAGAUGGAUUCACACAUCUCUUUUGACUAUGAUGGGGUCACCUUGACUUACAACUCUGUUGAGGCUGAUAGUAUACAGCGGCUUGUCUCAGAAUUACGACGACUUUCAAAUGCUCGUGUAUUUGCUUGUGGAAUGCGGAGGUUGGUUCGUAUUAAAGUAGAUGAGAAAUUAGUUGAGAAUCAGUUAGCUACAAAGGCAAAGUUACAUGCAAGAAAAGGUUUCAGGAACAGGUUAUCGGACCAGAUGGCUAAAAAUUUCCGGAUUAACGCUGUUGGUUUGAUGAACUUGUGGUUCAGUUAUGGUGCCAAUGCCAUGCCCAUGGUUCACUUUGUUGUCGAGUGGGAUGCCAGUAAGGCUGGUUGCACAAUGCGUAUUUCACCAGAUCAUCUUUGGCCACACACAAAGUUUUUGGAGGAUUUUGUGAAUUGCAAUGAGGUAGCAUCAUUUUUGGAUUGUAUCAGACUGACAGCAGGUCCUUUACUUUCCCUUGGUGGUGCAAUUCGUCCUGCAAAGAUGCCUGCUGUCCCUGCUGUUUGCGGUUCUGCACAAAAGCAAAACAAUGUUCUUUUGGCAAAUGGUUCAUCAUCAACUACUGUGCAUAUAAACAGUCAUGAUGCUCAGACUUCCUCUAUGCUCUCUGCUGUAGGCUGGACUGGUCAUGGACUAGUUCCUAGUUCUUUGAUGCCUUUUGAUGUUUCUGUUGUGCUCCGUGGGCCAUACUGGAUACGCAUUAUAUAUCGCAAUAAGUUCUCUGUUGACAUGCGCUGCUUUGCUGGGGAUCAGGUCUGGCUGCAGCCAGCAACCCCUCCAAAAGGUGGGCCUUCAAUUGGUGGAUCUUUACCUUGUCCACAAUUUCGACCAUUCAUAAUGGAACAUGUUGCUCAGGGUCUAAAUACUCUUGAGCCGAGCUUUCUGAAUGCUAGACAUACUAGUGCCAAUACUUCAUCUGGAAGUCAACAGAUAGCAGCUAGUGUGAGUAGAGCAGGCAAUGCCACGCUACCUUCAGGAGACGGAGCUCCUGCACACCUUUCUCCUGACACUAACCUUCCUGUGCAUAUGAAAGGAGAAUUGAACACAGCUUUUAUCGGGCUUGGAGAUGAUGGUGGCUAUGGUGGUGGCUGGGUCCCUCAUGCUGCUCUUAAGAAGGUGUUGCGAGGCAUUCUCAAGUACCUUGGAGUUCUAUGGUUGUUUGCGCAAUUGCGUGAUAUUCUGAAAGAUAUAUUGGGGUCAGUUUUGAAAGAUAAUGAAGGUGCACUUCUGAAUUUGGAUCAAGAACAGCCAGCGUUGCGCUUCUUUGUGGGUGGUUAUGUCUUUGCAGUUAGUGUUCAGCGAGUUCAACUGCACCUUCAAGUUCUUAAUGUGAAGCGGUUUCACCACCAGCAACAGCAACAGCAAGCUCCUCAGAGCAGUGCUCAGGGAGAGCUAACACCAUCUGAGAUACAUGAGAUAUGCGAUUACUUUAGCAGAUGUGUUGUCUGUGAACCUUAUGAUGCUUCUAGGAUUGCUUCUUUUAUCAUGUUGCUUACUCUGCCCAUUUCAGUUAUACAAGAAUUUGUAAAACUAAUUACAUGGAAUAAAAGCUUGUCCGAGGCUCAUGGGGACAUCGCUGCUGCAGAGCGGGCACGGGCUGAACUUUGUUUGGAAAAGCAUCCAAGAUCAGUUUCAGAUGAUUAUACUGAACCUUCUUUAUUAUCCAAGAGUAAUAUUCAGCAUGACAGAGCCAACAAUUCAGUAGAUUUUACCCUAACUUUUGUGCUUGACCAUAAUCUUACACCACAUGUGAGGACAUCUGGUGGAGCUGCUUGGUUACCAUUUUGUGUUUCUCUGAGAUUAAGGUACACCUUUGGGGAUACUAGUCAUAUCGCAUACCUUGCAAUGGAUGGCAGCCAUGGUGGUAGAUCUUGCUGGUUGCAACACGAGGAUUGGGAGAGGUGUAAGCAGAGUGUUGUUAAAGCAGUGAAGAUGGUGAAUGGAUCGCCAGCAGGUGGAGAGACAAGCCGAGGAAGGCUGCAAAUGGUUGCUGAAAUGGUCCAAAAGCAACUGCAACUGUGCCUAGUGCAUUUAAGAGAUGGCUCGCUUUCUGCUGGCUCAACUCGACCAUGA
rnacentral:rRNA from 1 species